ACUAAGCGUACACGGUGGAUGCCCUGGCAGUCAGAGGCGAUGAAGGACGUGCUAAUCUGCGAUAAGCGUCGGUAAGGUGAUAUGAACCGUUAUAACCGGCGAUUUCCGAAUGGGGAAACCCAGUGUGUUUCGACACACUAUCAUUAACUGAAUCCAUAGGUUAAUGAGGCGAACCGGGGGAACUGAAACAUCUAAGUACCCCGAGGAAAAGAAAUCAACCGAGAUUCCCCCAGUAGCGGCGAGCGAACGGGGAGCAGCCCAGAGCCUGAAUCAGUGUGUGUGUUAGUGGAAGCGUCUGGAAAGGCGCGCGAUACAGGGUGACAGCCCCGUACACAAAAAUGCACAUGCUGUGAGCUCGAUGAGUAGGGCGGGACACGUGGUAUCCUGUCUGAAUAUGGGGGGACCAUCCUCCAAGGCUAAAUACUCCUGACUGACCGAUAGUGAACCAGUACCGUGAGGGAAAGGCGAAAAGAACCCCGGCGAGGGGAGUGAAAAAGAACCUGAAACCGUGUACGUACAAGCAGUGGGAGCACGCUUAGGCGUGUGACUGCGUACCUUUUGUAUAAUGGGUCAGCGACUUAUAUUCUGUAGCAAGGUUAACCGAAUAGGGGAGCCGAAGGGAAACCGAGUCUUAACUGGGCGUUAAGUUGCAGGGUAUAGACCCGAAACCCGGUGAUCUAGCCAUGGGCAGGUUGAAGGUUGGGUAACACUAACUGGAGGACCGAACCGACUAAUGUUGAAAAAUUAGCGGAUGACUUGUGGCUGGGGGUGAAAGGCCAAUCAAACCGGGAGAUAGCUGGUUCUCCCCGAAAGCUAUUUAGGUAGCGCCUCGUGAAUUCAUCUCCGGGGGUAGAGCACUGUUUCGGCAAGGGGGUCAUCCCGACUUACCAACCCGAUGCAAACUGCGAAUACCGGAGAAUGUUAUCACGGGAGACACACGGCGGGUGCUAACGUCCGUCGUGAAGAGGGAAACAACCCAGACCGCCAGCUAAGGUCCCAAAGUCAUGGUUAAGUGGGAAACGAUGUGGGAAGGCCCAGACAGCCAGGAUGUUGGCUUAGAAGCAGCCAUCAUUUAAAGAAAGCGUAAUAGCUCACUGGUCGAGUCGGCCUGCGCGGAAGAUGUAACGGGGCUAAACCAUGCACCGAAGCUGCGGCAGCGACGCUGAUGCGUUGUUGGGUAGGGGAGCGUUCUGUAAGCCUGCGAAGGUGUGCUGUGAGGCAUGCUGGAGGUAUCAGAAGUGCGAAUGCUGACAUAAGUAACGAUAAAGCGGGUGAAAAGCCCGCUCGCCGGAAGACCAAGGGUUCCUGUCCAACGUUAAUCGGGGCAGGGUGAGUCGACCCCUAAGGCGAGGCCGAAAGGCGUAGUCGAUGGGAAACAGGUUAAUAUUCCUGUACUUGGUGUUACUGCGAAGGGGGGACGGAGAAGGCUAUGUUGGCCGGGCGACGGUUGUCCCGGUUUAAGCGUGUAGGCUGGUUUUCCAGGCAAAUCCGGAAAAUCAAGGCUGAGGCGUGAUGACGAGGCACUACGGUGCUGAAGCAACAAAUGCCCUGCUUCCAGGAAAAGCCUCUAAGCAUCAGGUAACAUCAAAUCGUACCCCAAACCGACACAGGUGGUCAGGUAGAGAAUACCAAGGCGCUUGAGAGAACUCGGGUGAAGGAACUAGGCAAAAUGGUGCCGUAACUUCGGGAGAAGGCACGCUGAUAUGUAGGUGAAGUCCCUCGCGGAUGGAGCUGAAAUCAGUCGAAGAUACCAGCUGGCUGCAACUGUUUAUUAAAAACACAGCACUGUGCAAACACGAAAGUGGACGUAUACGGUGUGACGCCUGCCCGGUGCCGGAAGGUUAAUUGAUGGGGUCAGCGCAAGCGAAGCUCUUGAUCGAAGCCCCGGUAAACGGCGGCCGUAACUAUAACGGUCCUAAGGUAGCGAAAUUCCUUGUCGGGUAAGUUCCGACCUGCACGAAUGGCGUAAUGAUGGCCAGGCUGUCUCCACCCGAGACUCAGUGAAAUUGAACUCGCUGUGAAGAUGCAGUGUACCCGCGGCAAGACGGAAAGACCCCGUGAACCUUUACUAUAGCUUGACACUGAACAUUGAGCCUUGAUGUGUAGGAUAGGUGGGAGGCUUAGAAGUGUGGACGCCAGUCUGCAUGGAGCCGACCUUGAAAUACCACCCUUUAAUGUUUGAUGUUCUAACGUUGACCCGUAAUCCGGGUUGCGGACAGUGUCUGGUGGGUAGUUUGACUGGGGCGGUCUCCUCCUAAAGAGUAACGGAGGAGCACGAAGGUUGGCUAAUCCUGGUCGGACAUCAGGAGGUUAGUGCAAUGGCAUAAGCCAGCUUGACUGCGAGCGUGACGGCGCGAGCAGGUGCGAAAGCAGGUCAUAGUGAUCCGGUGGUUCUGAAUGGAAGGGCCAUCGCUCAACGGAUAAAAGGUACUCCGGGGAUAACAGGCUGAUACCGCCCAAGAGUUCAUAUCGACGGCGGUGUUUGGCACCUCGAUGUCGGCUCAUCACAUCCUGGGGCUGAAGUAGGUCCCAAGGGUAUGGCUGUUCGCCAUUUAAAGUGGUACGCGAGCUGGGUUUAGAACGUCGUGAGACAGUUCGGUCCCUAUCUGCCGUGGGCGCUGGAGAACUGAGGGGGGCUGCUCCUAGUACGAGAGGACCGGAGUGGACGCAUCACUGGUGUUCGGGUUGUCAUGCCAAUGGCACUGCCCGGUAGCUAAAUGCGGAAGAGAUAAGUGCUGAAAGCAUCUAAGCACGAAACUUGCCCCGAGAUGAGUUCUCCCUGACUCCUUGAGAGUCCUGAAGGAACGUUGAAGACGACGACGUUGAUAGGCCGGGUGUGUAAGCGCAGCGAUGCGUUGAGCUAACCGGUACUAAUGAACCGUGAGGCUUAACC
rnacentral:rRNA from 1 species